GACAGAGGUGCAAACGUUGUUCGGAAUUACUGGGCGUAAAGCGUGUGUAGGCGGCCACGUAAUCGAUGUGAAGACCCAGGCCUCGACCUGGAAGCUGGCACAUCGAUACUGCGUGGCUUGAGUAUCGGAGAGGUUGGUGGAAUUCUCGGUGUAGAGGUGAAAUUCGUAGAUAUCGAGAGGAACACCGGUGGCGAAGGCGGCCAACUGGACGAAUACUGACGCUGAGACACGAAAGCGUGGGGAGCAAACAGG
rnacentral:rRNA from 1 species